GAUCCAGGGGAGGAGGCUGCCAGGCUGAAUUGUGUGUGUGGGGUCACCUUCCUAGUGAUUACAGACUUCAUGGACCCUUACCCCUCCUGCUCUGACCUGUGUCAGGGCUCCUCAUUAUUCUAAGCUGCUGGGCUCAGCCCUGGGUUAGGCUGUCCUUUUCCAGAGACUUAAUCCAUUGCCUUCCCCACCCCUUCACUCCUCCCUGUUCCUGAUCUUCCCCAGCUGCUUCCUCCAUGGGGAGGAGACACCAAGGCAACCAGUGGGCCUCCUUAGCCUGAAGAAGGGCUGCUGGUCCCCUGAGACUCCCCAUGUAGCAGCUUCAAGGGUAGUAGGGGCAGUUCUAAACCCCUUCAUCAGGGGUAGGGGACUAGUACCCAGCAGGGUACUGAGGUUCAGGUGGGGAGCCCAGAGAUCUCUAUCUGAUCUGGGGCUGUUUGAAGGAACAAGAUUUCAAAACACUUUUAGGGGAGAAAAACUUGGGCACAGCUUGCCCAAGUUCGAGCCAGGGAGCAGUAACACUGGACUCAAGCCCAGGACUUCUCAUGGAACCUGGCCUCUUCUUCACAGCUCCAGGUGAGGGUACAUCGGGAGGUCUAUGUGGGCGUGUGUCCUCCAAGGGUGGAACAGUAACCUCGCAUCUUCCCGGUCGUCUGGACCUCCUAUUUUCUCAUAGUCCCUUCUGAAGGAAACCAGCAAGAAAAAGAAGCGCAGAGGCAGGGGUCCUCCGCAAUCUUUUGCCUUCUAAGGACAAUGUUCUCUGGAGCGCCUUCUACCGGUCGGCCGCAGACCUCCCACGCUAAGGCAGAAGUUGGGACACUACCCAUUUAUCUCCCUCUGCCUACUCAACAGAUCCCAACUUAGAUGGAAAGAAAAGAGAUUUUUCCACAAAAGAGGUUUACCACUGCUUGAGGAAGGAAUAAACAUGCUGAAAACUC